rfam:Spongiibacterium flavum strain DSM 22638 genome assembly, contig: Ga0070522_105
GGGGCCGACUGGUUUUGACAGCGAGACCAUUGGCAAUGUAAGCAUGUCGAGCGCUGGGAUACAGCUCGUUAAUCUCAUUUUCCACACUUUUAAUUGGCGAUAAUAAUUACGCUCUUGCCGCAUAAUCUGAAUUAUAGUAAGAUUUGCCUCGUCCUUACUAGGUAGGGAAGCGAGAUGUUCCUGGAUAGCCCUUGUUGACGGCGAUCCGUUUUGGAGCACCAUAAAAGUCAACAUAAGGGUACGGCUCGCUUUGGCAGUACCACUAAAAUUUUAAGAAGCUAAGUGUACAAUAGGCGGUCUUUGGUCGGUUGUGCAUCUAAAAUUGAACAUAGACUAAGCAUGUAGAAAGCAUUGACUUUGCUUGUUUGGACGGGAGUUCGAUUCUCCCCGGCUCCACUU